rnacentral:rRNA from 1 species
GACGAACGCUGGCGGCGUGCUUAACACAUGCAAGUCGAACGGAAAGGCCCUGCUUUUGUGGGGUGCUCGAGUGGCGAACGGGUGAGUAACACGUGAGUAACCUGCCCUUGACUUUGGGAUAACUUCAGGAAACUGGGGCUAAUACCGGAUAGGAGCUCCUGCUGCAUGGUGGGGGUUGGAAAGUUUCGGCGGUUGGGGAUGGACUCACGGCUUAUCAGCUUGUUGGUGGGGUAGUGGCUUACCAAGGCUUUGACGGGUAGCCGGCCUGAGAGGGUGACCGGCCACAUUGGGACUGAGAUACGGCCCAGACUCCUACGGGAGGCAGCGGUGGGGAAUAUUGCACAAUGGGCGGAAGCCUGAUGCAGCAACGCCGCGUGCGGGAUGACGGCCUUCGGGUUGUAAACCGCUUUCGCCUGUGACGAAGCGUGAGUGACGGUAAUGGGUAAAGAAGCACCGGCUAACUACGUG